rnacentral:lncRNA from 1 species
GACGUCGUCUGGAGGUUACUGGUCGUUGCCGUGUCGGCCCGCUUUUUCGGUCAUCUUUCUUCUUCAGCCUUAAGGGCUCUGUAAUACAUAUUUAGUAAAUAAUAUGAGAAGAGAAUUUUCCGCUACCUCUUUUACUCACAUGUUGAAUUAUCGUUUGCCGAGCUUCCUUCGACUUUCGCCUUGUUCGAUUCGAUGCCAUUCGGAGGUACC